ACAUGCAAGUCGAGCGAGACCUUCGGGUCUAGCGGCGGACGGGUGAGUAACGCGUGGGAACGUGCCCUUUGCUACGGAAUAGCCCCGGGAAACUGGGAGUAAUACCGUAUGUGCCCUUCGGGGGAAAGAUUUAUCGGCAAAGGAUCGGCCCGCGUUGGAUUAGGUAGUUGGUGGGGUAAUGGCCUACCAAGCCGACGAUCCAUAGCUGGUUUGAGAGGAUGAUCAGCCACACUGGGACUGAGACACGGCCCAGACUCCUACGGGAGGCAGCAGUGGGGAAUCUUAGACAAUGGGGGAAACCCUGAUCUAGCCAUGCCGCGUGAGCGAUGAAGGCCUUAGGGUUGUAAAGCUCUUUCAGCUGGGAAGAUAAUGACGGUACCAGCAGAAGAAGCCCCGGCUAACUCCGUGCCAGCAGCCGCGGUAAUACGGAGGGGGCUAGCGUUGUUCGGAAUUACUGGGCGUAAAGCGCACGUAGGCGGAUAUUUAAGUCGGGGGUGAAAUCCCGGGGCUCAACCCCGGAACUGCCUUCGAUACUGGAUGUCUUGAGGUCGAGAGAGGUGAGUGGAAUUCCGAGUGUAGAGGUGAAAUUCGUAGAUAUUCGGAGGAACACCAGUGGCGAAGGCGGCUCACUGGCUCGAUACUGACGCUGAGGUGCGAAAAGCGUGGGGAGCA
rnacentral:rRNA from 1 species